CCUACGGGGGGCUGCAGUGGGGAAUAUUGGACAAUGGGGGGAACCCUGAUCCAGCCAUGCCGCGUGUGUGAAGAAGGCCCUCGGGUUGUAAAGCACUUUCAAUGAGGAAGAACGCCUGGUGGUUAAUACCCAUCAGGAAAGACAUCACUCACAGAAGAAGCACCGGCUAACUCCGUGCCAGCAGCCGCGGUAAUACGGAGGGUGCGAGCGUUAAUCGGAAUUACUGGGCGUAAAGCGCGCGUAGGUGGCUUGAUAAGCCGGUUGUGAAAGCCCCGGGCUCAACCUGGGAACGGCAUCCGGAACUGUCAAGCUAGAGUGCAGGAGAGGAAGGUAGAAUUCCCGGUGUAGCGGUGAAAUGCGUAGAGAUCGGGAGGAAUACCAGUGGCGAAGGCGGCCUUCUGGACUGACACUGACACUGAGGUGCGAAAGCGUGGGUAGCAAACAGGAUUAGAUACCCCUGUAGUC
rnacentral:rRNA from 1 species